GGAUACUCCCGGGAAACCGGGGAAAGGUCGGAUUCUUUCCGGAGAAUUCAGCUCCUUUGUUAAAGUGGCCUCGGCUGUUUUAACGAAGGCAGGUUCACCCCGUCCGGUGCGGAAGUUCGCGCUUCCGUGAAACGCGAAAAUCGGACGGUGGCCACAAGUCGCAUCGCAAAGCCGCGGCAAGUGGAGUUAGCGAGAGGAGGCUGGGUUUUGGCUUCCUUAAGCAAUCGGUCACCUAGAAGGUGUGGUCGUUACCGUGAAAUUCCGGAUAGGUUCGAGGCCGCGGGCACUGACAUGAGUGCUUGUAGUCAAAGCUCUUCGGAGCGGAGGCUGCUGAACGCGACCCCGAAUGAAAUCGUGAAACUUCGCCGUCGGGCGAAGGAAAGCGAAGGUUCGAUCGGAAACCGAAAGGCGGAAGAUCGAGUUGUCGAAAAAUGACCUGAGAGCUAAGGCGAGACCCGUAGAUCAGGGCGAAGCCUACACGGGCAACCGUGGAGACGAGUCCUGUGAAAACGGGGAGGUUGUCAGAGACAACGAGAACCUCCCCCGGUGGUUUGAAGGAGCGCCGUAAGGCGAUCCGACGCUCUGCCGAGAAGCCUUGCUUGAAAUCGUCGACGCAUCGACGACGGUCCUGCCAUGAGACCGUAACGAGGACAUGUCGCCUCGAGUGGCGUCGGGGAGCCGACAGCUUGCCCCAAGGAUAAGCGCCUAAUGUCGGUACCCGGGAACGAGCGUGUGGCGAACGCC
rnacentral:sRNA from 12 species